ACGCUCGACACCUACUGGAGGCAGCAGUUGGGAAUAUUGGACAAUGGAGGAAACUCUGAUCCAGUGACGCCGCGUGAAGGAAGAAGGUCUUCGGAUUGUAAACUUAUUUUGUCAGGGAAGAAAAAAUGACUGUACCUGAAGAAAAAGCACCGGCUAACUACGUCNCACAGCCGCGGUAAUCUGAGCGGGCUGGCAAGGC
rnacentral:rRNA from 1 species